rnacentral:rRNA from 1 species
CAGCCGUAAACUAUGCGCGUUAGGUGUAUCGGUGACCACGAGUUACCGAGGUGCCGAAGGGAAACCGUGAAACGUGCCGCCUGGGAAGUACGGUCGCAAGGCUGAAACUUAAAGGAAUUGGCGGGGAGCACCACAACAGGUGGAGCCUGCGGUUUAAUUGGACUCAACGCCGGGAAGCUCACCGGAUAGGACAGCAGAAUGAUUGCCGGGCUGAAGACCCUGCAUGACUAGCUGAGAGGUGGUGCAUGGCGUCAGUGACU